rnacentral:lncRNA from 1 species
GACAUUUUGAAGACUACAAUAGCAACCCAAAUUGAAAGUUUUUGUUAUUUAAAAGACUGAGCUUUCGUUAAUAUGAUAUUUCUUUUAAAGUGGAGGAAAUGCAGUGUUGAUGUUAGAAACUAAAACUGUUGCUUUAUUUUUAUCACCUUAUGGAAAUUUAAAGAAUUAAAUACAUGGAACGAUAUAACUCUGAACUUAUUAGUUUAAUGUUUUUAAUAAUUAUUUCAGUGGUUUAUGUAGUUUGUUUCAUCAGCAGUUGAGUAAA